GGGGACUUAGCUCAGUUGGUAGAGCGGUUGCUUUGCAAGCAGCAUGUCAGGAGUUCGAUUCUCCUAGUCUCCAC
rnacentral:tRNA from 2 species